UCGGUCAUACUAGAAGAAAAAGGUCUAUUUAAAACCAACAUUCUGGGAUGAGUCAAUAAUUUGAUCUCGCAUAAAAAGAAAAAAACUCUCUCUAUUCUCAAAAAAAAUAUCACGCCCUACCUAAUUGUUACUCUAAAUUAGCGAUCAAAAUUUUUCAUUGAAUGCUCAAAUUGUUGACUAAAUCUCUUUAAUUUCCUAUCGGAAAUUCCAUUAUCG
rnacentral:lncRNA from 1 species